AGGAGGAAGCUCGCCUUCGGAGAGCAGAGACAAGAGAAGGCAGGGAGCGAGACUGCCCGAGGAAUGGGAGGGGAGGAGAAGAGAGAAGAGGAGAUCUGAGGCGAGGUCACAUCUAGACAGGACGCAGUAAGAAGUAAAGCUAGAACAAAGACAAGUGAGAGGCCAGGGCACAACUAGGGAGAAAGGACGGACUCACAGGACAGGGGAUGCAUGUAAAGGAAAGACAGAUGAUCUCUGUGUGACCAGAAGGAUAGCGAUUAAAAAGGUAAGAAUGACAGGAAAGGAAGGAAAAGGGAGUAAGUUAGGGGACAAAGUAAGUGCACAAGUACUAGUUCACGCUUAGCAAAUCACCCGGCAGUUAGGCUGAGCUGGAAAGAGAGCCACAGCCAUACCCGAGAGGGGACCAUCAGAAAGGGGAGGCUGGCAAUGUAAGUAACUAGCUACCGAGGCAAAAAAUGAAAAGAAGAAAAAAAAAAGAAAAGAAGAAGAUGGAAAAGGCCCCAAACUAGGCCAAGAUUCUGACUGACAUUUCUGAGCUCACCAGCUGCUGCUUCCUUGAGAGAAUUCUGACAGGAAGGCAUAGAAACGCAAGCCAACGCUGGCAGCUCUGGAAAAAAUAAUCAUACUAACACUCCGUGCUCUAAACACCUCAAUGGGACUCACGCCUCCCAUGGAAGAAAGCGCACAGAGGAGGAGGGACUUGCCCACAACUUUCCCCAGGCUUGGAUGGACCAAUGAUGCUUGCGAUAUACCAAGGAAUCCUCACACUAGCGGUUGCCUGCAGCCACUCCCGAUGGAGCUGCCUCCUGCUCUGGCUGGUCAAACGGAACCAAGUCCGUCUUCCUGAGAGGUUUGGUCCCCUUCAACCAGCUACAGCAGGGCUGGCCAUGCCCAGUCCCCGGAGGAACAGAAGAGACCCGCCUGUGGCUGAAAUUACAUACUAACGCUUCCCUUCAGAAAACGACUCUGCUUUUAUCAUAUACCCUUAUGUUCCCAGGAAGGGAGAAAAGAGGAGCCCUGGGUUCAAAAGUCAGCAAUAUUUUCACACUUGACACACAGAGUUCUGUGGCUUUACACCCACAACUAGAUCCCCUCACAUGCUCCUGACACACACAGUCCGUAAAGAUUCUGAGGAGGGAAUUGUUGCCAGCUCUGGUCCAGCCAGGGUAAGAGUGAGACCUCAGAGACAGGACUUCUGCUCACAGGGACUAACAGUCUAAGAUAAGAAACUGGAUGUAUGAAUACGGCACAAUUAAAUGGAAUUGCAAGUCGGAGCAUGGCUAGUUCGGAACAUAAUACUUCUUACACAGCACACCAUACAUGCCUAGCAGAUUGUGUACCACCAAGGCUUUAUUGACCCUUUCAGCCCAAGAUAUCUAUUCACUAAGCAAUAUACAUGGGACUCAGUUUCCUGGUCUGUAGAAGGGUGAUAACAAUCAUAGCACCUAUCACAUAGGAUUGUGUGUGGAAUGAAAUGAGAACACAUGUAAAGGAGUUUAAAAGCUCUCAAUAAAUCUUACCUCACCUGUCCUUCCAAUUUCUCUUUCAAAAUGGUGUGUCUUUGACAGUGUAUGCCCAAAACCAAGGAGUAUGCCCAAAACUUAGCUAGUGCUCAAUUCCAGAGGUACAUGUGUGCACAGGCUGGACUCUGACAUAAUAUGGUCUCAUGAUGCCCAGAGUCCACCAAGCCUACGGAGGGUGUGGCGCUCACCUGCACAUGCCUUGGAAUCAGGGAGACCUGGGUUUGAAUCUUGCCCUUUUCAUUUAUUAGCUCUGAUAUGUCCUCUCCGACCUCAGUUACAUUAUAUAAACUUCAGUUUCCUCUUCUGUAAAAUAACAACAAUACUUAAAGUUGAUUUAGGAACUUAAAAAGAUAAUGCGUAUAAAGAGCUAACUAUAAUCCCUCAAUAAAUGGUAGCUGUUGUUUUUCUAUUGUACAUGGCCACAACUCAAGGCCAAAUUUGUGUCCACAGACACCAGAAAGGUGGAAGACCAAAUUAAAAAAACAACAAAAAACUAAAAAUAAACAAAACCUCAUUAUAGGGUAUAUUUAUGCUCCAACUACAAAUACUACAACGAAACAGCAUGCAUUCAUACUUGUAUGUGUUACCAGUAUGUAAUAAAUUUUACUAAAAAUAAAUGUUUGAGUAUCAUCUUAAAGAAAUAUCCUGCCAAGAAAGCCUUCAUUUGUGAGUGCUGCUGAAAUGCUAGUCUGUAACCACAUCCUCCUGAGCACGUGAAGGUCCACUGAGCGUGAAACCCAAGGUGUGGAGCUUAGAUACAGGCACUGGAGCCUGAUUGUGUGGGACCCCAGCUCCCCAGACUCCAACCAGCUGUGCCAUUUGGGCAACUUGCUUGACCUCUUUGGGCCUGAGUUUCCUCAUAUGUAGAAUGAGGAUAUUAACAGGAGUAUCUACCUCACAGGUCUUUCAUGAGAAUGAAAUGAAAAUACAUGUAAAGGUCUAAAACUAGGACUGGGUACAUAUUAAGCUUGUAAAACUUUUUAUCUUUGACAAUGGAUCUGAGAUGUUCUGGAAACUAAAUUGGUGUUCAAUAAAACCUAUUUAAUAAAUGA